rnacentral:lncRNA from 1 species
UGAAGAAGGCAGUUGGCUACUACUGUGGAAGUAUUUUAGUAACUGUGGAGCGUGGGAAAAUAUCCCUUUGUUGGCAGAGCAAUGAACUUGUCAUGUAAACUAACUGAUAUAUCCAAGGAAAGGGACAGUAUUUCCGGCUGUUUGUUCCUUUCUAUUGAUGGGUGUAGGAGCAACAGGAAUGGAAAUAACCCAAGGUAAUCCUUAGACUUCCUUCACAUGGAGAGUGUGAAGAAUUUACAAUUGGGUCUUUGCAAAGCAGGCCUGUGACACUUACUACCCAGGGUGUCAGUAAAGGCGAGUUACCCUUCCUGGAAGAACUUUGAAUGAGAUGCAAAGAGACCCUGGGAACUUGACCAGUCAAACUUAGAAGUAUGAAGAGAAUGUAGUGGGAGGAAGUGGAGGCCGUGAGUCAGCAUGAGUCAUUCUGUUCCAAUGAGAAUGAAGGCUGACUGAGAGGUGUGUGUAUCUUUUUUUGGUUUGGGUUUUGGGUUUUUUUUUCUCUUCGUCUUAAUCUUUGGAACAUCAUUGGUGAAUGGAGGAAAAAAGUAAGUGAUUUUGCUUAUAUGCUUGGUGCUUUUCAGGUAUUAAGUUCUCACUUCAAUGAUACUUUGCAUGAAUACAUAAAUGUGACUUUUAUCCCCCUAGGCAUCCUGUUCUCAAGGAGGUGGAGCAACCGACUUCUCCUUGAAUAACUGGGAGAUGACACAGGAAGCUACAUGUCACAGUUGAUCGAAAAUGACAUAGACACUGAAAAUCAGGACUUUCAGCCCAACUCUGAGCUCCCUCUUGAAUGCUGAUCAGGAGAAAUGCAAAUGGAAAAAAAAAAAAGAAAAAUGCAAAAAAGUUUGUCUCUGGGAUUGGGGCUAAUGAACUUAUGCUGUGAAGUAUAGGUUUUGAAUUGUUUCAGAGUUACUUAUGAUAUUAGCAUGAUAUCUUAGGCAGAGACUCUUCUGGUUGGAUUCAUUCAUCUGCCCAAAGCUAUUUAUCUUUGUCUUAAUUCUCUCUUCCAUGAUCAAAAGCAAAACUAAAGAAAAUGUCAGUCAUUUGUUUAUUCACUAUUUUUAGCACCAAGUUAACUGGAAAGACGGUGUAUUUCUUUCAAACCUCGUAAACCAUGUGGUAACCUCACAGAAGAUUAACCAGGACGACUAAAUUCUCUCAUUCUGCAGCUUUUGUUCUGGUUAUUUUUUUCUCAUAUACUUCACUAGAAAACAAGUAUUUAUAUCAUUGUACUCUGUCAUUUAAAAAAGGCAAUAAAAGGCCCUUUCUGACCCA